rnacentral:rRNA from 1 species
ACUUGGGUGCUGCAUUCCAAACUGGGUGUCUAGAGUGUUGGAGAGGAAAGUGGAAUUCCUAGUGUAGCGGUGAAAUGCGUAGAGAUUAGGAAGAACACCAGUGGCGAAGGCGACUUUCUGGACAAUAACUGACGCUGAGGCUCGAAAGCGUGGGGAGCAAACAGGAUUAGAUACCCUGGUAGUCCACGCCGUAAACGAUGGGUACUAGGUGUAGGGGGUAUCGACUCCCUCUGUGCCGCCGUUAACACAAUAAGUACCCCGCCUGGGGAGUACGGUCGCAAGAUUAAAACUCAAAGGAAUUGACGGGGACCCGCACAAGCAGCGGAGCAUGUGGUUUAAUUCGAAGCAACGCGAAGAACCUUACCUAGACUUGACAUCUCCUGCAUUACCCUUAAUCGGGGAAGCUCCUUCGGGAGCAGGAAGACAGGUGGUG